rnacentral:sRNA from 1 species
AAACCGCUGCUGGAGCUGGCU